AGACGGAGGGUGCUAGCGUUGUUCGGAAUCACUGGGCGUAAAGGGCGCGUAGGCGGCUGUGGCAGUCGGGUGUGAAAGCCCGGAGCUCAACUCCGGAACGGCACUCGAGACGCCAUGGCUGGAGGCCGGAAGAGGAGGGUGGAAUACCCAGUGUAGAGGUGAAAUUCGUAGAUAUUGGGUGGAACACCGGUGGCGAAAGCGGCUCUCUGGUCCGGACCUGACGCUGAGGCGCGAAAGCGUGGGGAGCAAACA
rnacentral:rRNA from 1 species